GGCCUCCCUGUGCCACAUCAGAUGAAGAGAGGAAGGCAGAGAAUUUCCAGGACUUCUUACGCUAAAAAUAUGUAACAACAAAUUCUGGCACAUCUGAUGGAUAAUGGGAAUUUUGGUGUCCACAUUCCUGGAAUUUCCAGCAAAGGUGUUAGAAACCUUUGAAAUGCUUAUCAGACUGGCUGAGAAUUACACAAGCACACUUUUCUGCACUGCAUAUAGAAACAUGGCUGCUGAGGCUACUGUGCGUGUUCAGGAGUUUUUCACUGAUGUUGGACUCUUCGUAUUUGGCACAGACAUUAGCACAGAGGAAUUUGUGAAUAGAUUUUUUGACACCCUGUUUCCAGUAGUCUACAGCCACGUGAUUAACCCUGGUCUGACUGACAUUUCACUGGAAUAUGCAGAGUGUCUACGAACGGCGAGAAGAGACAUCAGGCCCUUUGGCAGCGUUCCCAAAAAGGCCAUAAGUCAAAUGGGAAGAUCCCUCUUAUCCAGCCGGACUUUCUUGCAGGCUCUGAAUUUGGGGAUUGAAGUGAUCAAUACAACGGAUCACCUGCAUUUCUCCAAAGACUGCAGCAGAGCUUUACUGAGAAUGCAGUACUGCCCCCACUGCCAGGGACUGAUGAUGAGUAAGCCCUGCAUGGGCUACUGCCUCAACAUCAUCCGGGGCUGCUUAGCCAACACAGCAGAAAUUGAUCUUCAUUGGCGGGGAUAUAUUCAGUCCCUGGAGGAGCUCUCAAGCGCCAUGAGUGGAACACACGACGUUGAGCACGUGCUUCUCAACUUUCAUUCGCUUGUUAAUGAUGCUCUGGUACAGGCUCAUACCCAUGGGCCAGAGUUAUCUGAGCAGGUUAAAAAGAUAUGUGGUCCUCCUGUAAGGAAGCCUACGCAGUCUCCAGGUUGCUCCUUUGAUCAGAACAAAGAUAAUCAAGUGUUGAAGAUGUUCUCAAGAGACAGUGAAGAAACACUCACCAAUAGAAGAAAUAUGUAGCGAAUUGAGGUGACUGCAAAGGCUUGGAGAUUUCAUCUAGUGCAGCACUGCAGGGUGAAAUUUGCCUAACUGCUUACGAGCUAGGUGUUUAAGCUGCUGUUGUAGUUUGUGGAAAUGAGAACUCAUUUCAGCUGCCCAUGCAUCUACAAGCAUCCAGUGCCACUCAAGGACAUGCUGGGGUAUCCCAAAUGAUCUGCUUCUGCCAGGAAGGAUGCAGGUAUCCUGGAAUUUAUCAGACACCUGCGGCUCUACAGAGCCUUUUACGGUGGCCUGGCUGAUCACUUGUGCAGUAGCGAGUUGGCGGCUGCAGAUGGAC